rnacentral:rRNA from 1 species
GACGAACGCUGGCGGCGUGCUUAACACAUGCAAGUCGAACGGAAAGGCCCUGCUUUUGUGGGGUGCUCGAGUGGCGAACGGGUGAGUAACACGUGAGUAACCUGCCCUUGACUUUGGGAUAACUUCAGGAAACUGGAGCUAAUACCGGAUAGGAGCUCCUGCUGCAUGGUGGGGGUUGGAAAGUUUCGGCGGUUGGGGAUGGACUCGCGGCUUAUCAGCUUGUUGGUGGGGUAGUGGCUUACCAAGGCUUUGACGGGUAGCCGGCCUGAGAGGGUGACCGGCCACAUUGGGACUGAGAUACGGCCCAGACUCCUACGGGAGGCAGCAGUGGGGAAUAUUGCACAAUGGGCGGAAGCCUGAUGCAGCAACGCCGCGUGCGGGAUGACGGCCUUCGGGUUGUAAACCGCUUUCGCCUGUGACGAAGCGUGAGUGACGGUAAUGGGUAAAGAAGCACCGGCUAACUACGUGCCAGCAGCCGCGGUGAUACGUAGGGUGCGAGCGUUGUCCGGAUUUAUUGGGCGUAAAGAGCUCGUAGGUGGUUGAUCGCGUCGGAAGUGUAAUCUUGGGGCUUAACCCUGAGCGUGCUUUCGAUACGGGUUGACUUGAGGAAGGUAGGGGCGAAUGGAAUUCCUGGUGGAGCGGUGGAAUGCGCAGAUAUCAGGAGGAACACCAGUGGCGAAGGCGGUUCUCUGGGCCUUUCCUGACGCUGAGGAGCGAAAGCGUGGGGAGCGAACAGGCUUAGAUACCCUGGUAGUCCACGCUGUAAACGGUGGGUACUAGGUGUGGGGUCCAUUCCACGGGUUCCGUGCCGUAGCUAACGCUUUAAGUACCCCGCCUGGGGAGUACGGCCGCAAGGCUAAAACUCAAAGGAAUUGACGGGGCCCCGCACAAGCGGCGGAGCAUGCGGAUUAAUUCGAUGCAACGCGUAGAACCUUACCUGGGUUUGACAUGGAUCGGGAGUGCUCAGAGAUGGGUGUGCCUCUUUUGGGGUCGGUUCACAGGUGGUGCAUGGCUGUCGUCAGCUCGUGUCGUGAGAUGUUGGGUUAAGUCCCGCAACGAGCGCAACCCUUGUUCACUGUUGCCAGCACGUUAUGGUGGGGACUCAGUGGAGACCGCCGGGGUCAACUCGGAGGAAGGUGGGGAUGACGUCAAGUCAUCAUGCCCCUUAUGUCCAGGGCCUCACGCAUGCUACAAUGGCUGGUACAGAGAGUGGCGAGCCUGUGAGGGUGAGCGAAUCUCGGAAAGCCGGUCUCAGUUCGGAUUGGGGUCUGCAACUCGACCUCAUGAAGUCGGAGUCGCUAGUAAUCGCAGAUCAGCAACGCUGCGGUGAAUACGUUCCCGGGGCU